UGGGUUUAAAGGGAGUGUAGGCGGUUUGUUAAGCGUGUUGUGAAAUUUAGGUGCUCAACAUUUAACUUGCAGCGCGAACUGUCAGACUUGAGUACACGCAACGUAUGCGGAAUUCAUGGUGUAGCGGUGAAAUGCUUAGAUAUCAUGAAGAACUCCGAUUGCGAAGGCAGCAUACGGGAGUGUAACUGACGCUUAAGCUCGAAGGUGCGGGUAUCGAACAGGAUUAGAUACCCUGGUAGUCCGCACAGUAAACGAUGGAUGCCCGCUGUUAGCGCCUGGCGUUAGCGGCUAAGCGAAAGCAUUAAGCAUCCCACCUGGGGAGUACGCCGGCAACGGUGAAACUCAAAGGAAUUGACGGGGGCCCGCACAAGCGGAGGAACAUGUGGUUUAAUUCGAUGAUACGCGAGGAACCUUACCCGGGCUUGAAUUGCAGAGGAAUUAUUUAGAGAUAAAUACGCCCUUCGGGGUCUCUGUGAAGGUGCUGCAUGGUUGUCGUCAGCUCGUGUCGUGAG
rnacentral:rRNA from 1 species